CAGUAGCCGCGGUAAUACGGAGGGUGCAAGCGUUAAUCGGAAUUACUGGGCGUAAAGCGCACGCAGGCGGUUUGUUAAGUCAGAUGUGAAAGCCCUGGGCUCAACCUGGGAAUUGCAGUGGAUACUGGGUCACUAGAGUGUGGUAGAGGAUAGUGGAAUUUCCGGUGUAGCAGUGAAAUGCGUAGAGAUCGGAAGGAACAUCUGUGGCGAAGGCGACUAUCUGGGCCAACACUGACACUGAGGCACGAAAGCGUGGGGAGCAAACAGGAUUAGAUACCCCUGUAGUCCCUGUCUCUUAUAC
rnacentral:rRNA from 1 species